AUGACGUCCACGCUCGUCGUCAAGCCCACGGCGAACGACGCCUGGGGCACGAUCAAGACGAUGCGGCUCGGUGUAGCGCGCGUUCGUGAGUCCAAGGCGACGUCUCUACACCGCCAGUACGAGGCGAUCAAGUUCAACGACGGCGAGAGCAUCGACGACUUCGGUAUGCGCCUAUCUUCUCUGGUAACUCAACUUGAGCUACUUGGUGACAAAAUUGGCGAGCCCGCCGUCGUCCGCAAGUUUCUCUCAGUCGUUCCCAAGGCCUACUCGCAGAUGGCAUGUGCGAUCGAGACUCUGGUCGACCUCAACAUUCUG
rnacentral:rRNA from 1 species